AUUGAACGCUGGCGGCAGGCCUAACACAUGCAAGUCGAGCGGAUGAAGGGAGCUUGCUCCUGGAUUCAGCGGCGGACGGGUGAGUAAUGCCUAGGAAUCUGCCUGGUAGUGGGGGAUAACGUCCGGAAACGGGCGCUAAUACCGCAUACGUCCUGAGGGAGAAAGUGGGGGAUCUUCGGACCUCACGCUAUCAGAUGAGCCUAGGUCGGAUUAGCUAGUUGGUGGGGUAAAGGCCUACCAAGGCGACGAUCCGUAACUGGUCUGAGAGGAUGAUCAGUCACACUGGAACUGAGACACGGUCCAGACUCCUACGGGAGGCAGCAGUGGGGAAUAUUGGACAAUGGGCGAAAGCCUGGUCCAGCCAUGCCGCGUGUGUGAAGAAGGUCUUCGGAUUGUAAAGCACUUUAAGUUGGGAGGAAGGGCAGUAAGUUAAGACCUUGCUGUUUUGACGUUACCAACAGAAUAAGCACCGGCUAACUUCGU
rnacentral:rRNA from 1 species